AGAAUUUAUAGAUAAUAUGAUUACUCAUAUUAUCCGCCGGUUAAACCAUUUUUUAUCCGUAUUAAAUAUGGGUCGGGUCGGAUAAUUGAUCCGUUUUUUCUGGCGUCUGGCACCUCUAUGUCUUGUCCUCAUCUCAGUGGAGUAGCAGCAUUGCUGAAAAGCGCGCAUCCCACUUGGUCCCCUGCAGUUAUUAAAUCAGCAAUCAUGACAACGGCUAAUAUAGUAAACCUCGCCAACGAUCCCAUCUUAGAUGAAAGGCUACUUCGCCGUUGGUGCAGGACAUGUCAAUCCAUCAAAAGCUAAUGAUCCAGGGCUAGUUUACGAUACACGAUUUAAGGACUACUUGCCUUAUUUAUGUGGUUUGAACUACACAAAUCGACAGGUGGGAAAUCUUCUACAACGUAGGGUGGAUUGUAAACAAGUGAAAAGUAUUCCUGAAGCGCAACUAAAUUAUCCUUCAUUCUCCAUCACACUCGGGACAAAUUCUCAGACAUAUACGAGAACAGUAACUAACACUGGGAACGCUAAAUCAUCUUACAAUGUGGAAAUAGGUUCACCACCGGGUGUUUCUGUGAUUGUUAAGCCCUCUACUCUAAAAUUCUCGAAGUUGAACCAGAAGUUCAAAUAUCAAGUAACAUUUUCAAAAAGAGCUAAUAGCUCAAACAGUGGUAUUGUUCAAGGAUUCUUGAAAUGGACUAGUAAUAAGUACUCUGUAAGAAGUCCAAUUGCAGUUGUGUUAGACACUACAAUUGGUUUCUAGUUUAAUUUCUAUUUUUAGUAAUUGGAACAAUGUAUAACAAGUCUAUAUAUUAGUGGUUUCAAUAAAAACUGUAGAAUAAGUUCCAAAAGUAUUCACAUUUUAUUUGGCCACACAGAUUCAGUUGUUCUGUGAAAUUAUAAUCCCACCUUCUAUAUCUGUUAGGUAAUACCAAAAUUUUGACAUAAAAUUUAUACCGAUAUUAGUUAAUACGAAUCAGAGGCGGACUUAUGUGUAACCUUGAGGGGUCAUCAAACCUGGUAAAUUUCGGCAGAAAUCUUGUAUUGUACACUUUGAAAAUGGUUAAUAUAAAUCACUUGGGGACACUGGUUGAGCAGAAUACUGGUUCCCCCGUCGUGUUAAAAUCCUGGAUCCGCUUCUGACACCAAUAACCAAACGGUGGAUCUAAAUUUAGUACUGAAAUUAGUAUCCUAAUCCCAGUAACCAAACGACUCCUCGAAGUACCGGCCCUAAGCGGGCAUCGAAGGUUAAGAUGGUCAACUCAUUGGAAAUUCUUGAGUAUUUAUAGGCAACCAACAUACCCUUUUAGAAAAGAUUUCUUGAUUCACAAACAGACAUCUCCGGACAGGCCUGUUUGACCAAAAGAUAUUGAAACGUUUUUCAUUAAAUCAAUUAAGAAAAUUGAAGGGGUAAAUCUCGGCCAAAUAUAAUAAGAUCUAGCUUGAAGGAUGUUAAGAAUGAGCAAGAUGAAUAAUAUUUCUUUGUAUUUCAGGGUUGAACGACAAAUUAUCAAUAUGACAACUCUGAAUGUAAAGAGAUUUUGUAAUAGAUAUUCCCAGCUUCAAGUAAAAGUCGUAUAUAGAUCUUAGAAUUGUGAUCCCAGAAGCUCCCCUUUUUAAAGAGUGUCCGGUCCCCUUUUAUAGGGGACAAUCUCCCUUCUUACUCUCAAAAGAAAAAAGUACAACUUAAAGAAUAUUCCAAAGGCAUAUUCUCAUUGUUUCCUAUCAUGCUAACACGACUACAAGUGUCGUGCGUUCGCUAGCCACUGUCGAUCGUCGUUCAUCAUGACGAUCCUUAGGAAGCGACAUCGUAGGGACCUUGCUCUCUGCAUUACUUGGUUUCGGUCGUGGUCGUCCAAAUUUCGACCCAUACAAGGCCCUUUCAUAAUAGACAUAACUGUUUAUUCGAAUUUAUAAUUCAAAUAAACUGAUUUUCUGUCACAAAUUAAAAUUUAAAGUAAAAUAAUUAACUUUAGGAUCCGACACGGCCCGCGCCCAAGUCAAAUCCAAGUCUAAGUCUUUGAUUAUAUAAUAUAUAAAUAUAGAGUUUUUGACUAAAAUUAUCCCUUAUCUAUAGGAAUAGGUUCAUUUUUGUCCUUCAAAUAUAAACUAGAGCACCUUUAAUCCUAUAACUUUGUUAAACUAGAGCACCUUUGGUCACACUAACCUCACCAACUUAAAAACUAACGGAAGGGGCAAAUUUUCUAAUGGUGAUUGCCUGAAGCUUCUCAAAUGAUUUCCUUAUGGGUUCUGCAAAUUUGAUUAGUUCAAAAUUGUGACAUCCCCACCUUUACCCAAGGAGUAAUUAAUGUAGGAAACAUAUCUUUUUAAAUUAACUAUCCUACAGCAGCAACAACCAAUCCUUUUAAGCAGAAACUUACAUAUCAAAAAAUAUAUCUCCAGUCACUCUACUUUCUUGAGUUGCUUUCAUAUGGUCUUGGCUAGCAGGCUCUCUUCUUACCUACAAUAAAGAAAAAUAUUAUCAUUAAUAUAAUUAAAUAAAGUGAUAUGUGUAAUAAACUCAUACCGGAACCUUUACAGGAGCAGAAGAUGCAAUAGGAAAUGAGGGUUCUUGUCGCACCGUCUCAUCAUCAUGAGAAUCUGGAUACACACGAUUUAACUUGCAGGUUCUUUUGUUAUGGCCUGGAUUAUGGCAUAAGCUACAAUCUAAUUUUGUUUGCUUCCUUUUCAUUUUUUGUCAACUUGCUCCAACUUCAUCAGGCUCUUUUUUGCGAAGCUUUUGUUUUCUUCCUUUGGUACUUUGUCUUUCCAAUCGUGGAAGCAAAGGAGGAAUGUUAUUCGACUUAGGCCACAUCUCUUGACCAUUCAUAGGUAGAAUAGAAAGUGCAUAGAUCAUUCUAUAAGUUUCUACCUUAUAACAAUCAUCCACAUAUGAAUUAAUGUCAUCAUGUUUAGCCCAAAUCGCGGCAAUGGCAUGCUUGCAAGGAAUUCCUGUUAGAUCCCAUUUCCUACAACUGCAUUUUCUAUUUAGCAAAUUCACAACCCACUUGUUCAUUAUACUUGUUCCUAUUAUCUCAUAAUUCCACUCAUUUGACUUUCUGGGAAUAAAUUCAGCUGCUUUCGCUUGAUUUUUGUGCAAUACAUCCUUAAUCCUGGGGCAAAUAUCACCAUCAUUCCACUUGGUACCUUUAUCCCUAUUUGCUUGCAUCCUUGUCAUAAGGUGAGACCUUAACUUCUCCAGUAAAGUGAUAAUCGACUUAUCUCUAGCCUCAAUGAUCAUGCUAUUAAAACAUUCACACAUAUUAUUGAGUAAGGUAUCGCAUUUCACAGUUUCAGGAAAGUGAGAUUUAGACCAUUCAGUAUGCGACUUCUUCUUGAGCCAAUGAGCAGCUUAUGAAUCUAUAUCAAAGAUGUCAACCAUGCAAUCCUCAAACCACUUUACUGUUGUAGCCUUUGCAGCCUUCCAAAGGGCAUUCCUGAGUGAGAUACUACUGAAUCCGGCCCUCUGCAUUAUGAUAAUGUCACUUGAACUCUAAGUUCCACACUAACGUGAUCUCUGAAUGCACCGAUUGCCCAAGACCUAUUUGAGCUUAUGACCUUAAGAUAUCUUUGUGCAAUAUAAGAAGAUGUGAUUGCUUUGUUACGGUGGUUCCAAAUCUUACAAUCAUGAGUGGGAUUGUAUGUUCUGAUCUGAAAUGUUCUAUCUCAAUGCAUUCUUGAAGCUAGAAUCUCUCAUUUGCAAUCUAGAUGAUCACAAGUUGCUCUCACUCUCGAGUUAUCAUUCUUGCACCACUUAAUGUACUUCCCUUCAUUAACUUCAUGAGUUAUUACAACAUAUUUGAACUCAUGCUUGUUUUCAAAUGUCAAUUCUAAUGCCAACACUGGUUUAUCCCCGUCUGUUUUAGGAUUGAACAUCGGAAAGUUGAAACUCUCACUGUCAGAGUCACAUUCUAAACUCUUUGUAUCAUCCGAGUCAACACAAUAUGUAUCACCUUCUUCAGCAGUCAUUUUUUUUCUUAACUUCUUCACUAACUUCAUAUAUAUGAUUCACAUUUUCAUUAUCAUCUGAAAAAUCAUUUUCAGUAGAAACAAGUCGCAUUCUAUUCCCGUACCUCCUGCACUUCUGCCAAAAAGUAACAGAAUCUCUCUCAUAACCACAUAGUUCUGCCAUGGAUUUGAAUUGCGAGAGCUUCAACUCCAUAUGGUUAACAUAAUCAAUAAAAUCUAUACGACCCCCAAGAUAAUAUCUGCUAGGCUGAUGCUUCAUCGUACCACCAUGUGUUACUUUUAUACUGAAAAAAGAAGCCUCGUAUGCAUGGUCUGCCAACAACAACAACAACCCAGUAUAAUCCCACUUAGUGGGGUCUGGGGAGGGUAGUGUGUACGCAGACCUUACCCCUACCCUAGGGUAGAGAGACUGUUUCCAAAUAGACCCCCGGCAUCCUUCCCUCCAAGAACUUCCCACCUUGCUCUUGGGGAGACUCGAACUCACAACCUCUCAGUUAGAAGUGGAGUUGCUUACCAUUAUAGUAACCCUGACGUUAGACCUUUUUCUAGUGGACACGUACAGAGUAAUUUUAUAAGAAGAAAAAGACACGUUAAUAUGGGUGGACCUAAUUCGCCAACGAUUAAAAAAGAGAGAUAAAAGAUUAGCAAUGUUAGAAACAACUUUUUUAUUCCUUAUUGUUUGUCUCUAUUCCAAUAUUUUUUAUUCGAAAAGCUACUGCAUAUCACUGUAUUGCACGAAGAAUAGGAGAGAUUUAAUCUACUAACUUUAUUAUAAUACAAUGAAGCUCUCAUGUGUUAUAUAAUAAUCAUUAAAUAAACUAAAGAAUGAGAAAUUGAAUCAACUUACAGUAAAAAAAAAAAAAAUCACAAUUUCUUCAGUUUGAUGAAAAUCCAAAUACUAUUUCUUGCUAAAAUCUUACUAUAAUUGGGUAUUUCAUUACCAUGGCAUCUAAUAAUCAUUGCUGGAGAUCAAUAAAUAAGCUUCUUCACUUUGAGUCCUCUUCUUGUUUUCAGUCAUCGAAGCUUUUUUUGAGAGGCUAGGGUUUUUGGUAAUGGGUUUCUUUGUCGAUGGAAUUGAGGGAAAAUUGCAAAUGGAACUGGUGGGUUUAGCAUUUUCCAAAGUCACGUGAGUGUCACAUGGGUUAGCACCGUUAGUUUUUAACUUGGUUCUGUUAGUAGACUAAAGGUGCUCUAGUUUAGCAAAGUUAAAG
rnacentral:lncRNA from 1 species